AUAGCCUGUGUGUGCCAGUUUCUACAAACUUGUUUAUUUUCUUGGCAGAAAAAAAAAAUGUUUAUUUUAUUCAAGCUCCCAAAGUCAGAACGAGCUUGCCUAGACCUGCUGAAUUGGUUCUGUUCAUAAACUUCUGGUAAAAGUUCACUUUAUUUUCUCUAGCCAUGCUUCUCUUUUUCUGUUUGACUGGAAAGAUUCUCUCUUAGGUUUGAAGAAUUCAUGUCCCCCACUGGAGCUCUAGCUGACUGCUGUGGCCUGCUCUGAAGUUGACCUCAGAGUUAGCAAUGCAUUCUGAGCACCCUGUCUUUUACUGUGAGACACACUUCCUGUUUUAAGGAUUUUACAGUUUGGCAGAGAGAUAAGAGAAGUGAACGGCCAUCAGAAUACAAUACAUUAAAUGUCAAGAACAAGAAAAAUGAACUGCUGUGCAAUGGAAAUUCAGAAGUGAGAGAAUUGUUUUCCUGCCCAUUUCUUUGUGUCCAAAAUCCCAUUUGGAAUUGAAGUAUGUAUUUUGUAUUACUAUGCAGUCAUUUCUUCAUACAAAAAUCUUAAUUUGAUGGGAUUUAACCUCUAUUUUUUGGUCAUUUGGGAUUUCAUGGAGUCUGGAAUGAAGGACACAGUUAAUUUGCAUCUUCAUGCAAUAACUAUUCUUAAAAAAAAAUAAAAAAACCUUGAACAAAAUAAAGUUUAUAUGUUUCUCAUGCAAGAGCCCAGAGGAAGCAUGGUUGUCUAGACGAGGCAGGUUUAUUAGACAGGGUUUCCCCAGGUGUCUUUUCUCCUGUACCUCAUCAUUUCUAAGAGUUUCUGGAUAAUAACUCUUAAGAUGAUAUUAAAGGGAAAAAAGACAGAUUUUUGACUCACUAAAUAUCUAUGAGUGUACUUGAUAUUAAAGGC
rnacentral:lncRNA from 1 species